AAGGAGGGGAAGGAGCGGGGCGGGGCAAAGGGCGGGGAAAGAGCGAGGGCGGGCGGGUGUGCUCCUUUCGGCCUGGGAAUCCGAUUGGUUAUCGAUUCCCGCGGAAAUCACCCCGGUGCCUCUCGCGCCCCCUGGCCGGCCUAUGGCGAUAACUUCACGGAGACGGGCGUGGCUGGAGUUUUGCUUUAUUGCAGUUGAACGCUUGGGGCCAGGCUGCGAAGGAGACUGAGAGCGCGACAAGGCCUUGGACAGAUUCCCGCGCGGGGAAGGAAGGCUGGCUUAGGAGGGGGCGUCAGCUAUGGUUUAGCAGCUUCCAGCGACCGAAACCUACAUCACAGCCGCAGCACACAAUUCCAGGAAACCUGGUGCUCAAUAUUGGGAUCUCAGGAAUCAGGACCGGCGGCUGGGGUGAAAGCCUAGCGGUCAGAGCUUAGGAGUGAGGCAGAAGCUGUUAGAGACUCUUCGCAAGUGACCCCGGGGCUACAUAUGGAUGAUUCAAGAGGGAGUCUCCUCGCCAGAAAGCUCACAUGUUUCACUCCUUCUGGCCUUCAUACCAACCCAUUGUUAAAACUGGAAGCCCCUCCACCUGGGGCCACUGACUCCACUGUUUUCAGAUAGGAUGGGGACCCUGCACUGGAGACUGCUCUCUAGCCCCUGGGCAGGAGAGGCACAGACACUGCCACGCACGCCACGCGGAGCAGGGAUCACCAGCGCUUUGACUGACUUUGCUCGUCCAGGAGGCUGGGGACAUGCGUGCCCAUGCUCAGCCCACCCCCUCUGUAGACACAAUUGGUCGCCCAUUCUGUUUAUAGGAAGUCUUCCAUCCUGCACCAGCAGCUGUCCCUAGACAGGGAUUGGGAGACAUGCAAGUUGCUUGGCUUCCUAUUACCUUGUGUUGAAAACACAAUAGGCUUUGGGAUCAGGAGUUCAUUCCAGUUAUUUUAAUGUUAUUUACUAGCAGUGUGCCCUCGUGCACAUUAUCAAACUCCUCUGACUCUUGGAAUCCUCAUUUUUCAAUAAUAACUCACAAAGCUGUCAAGCCUAAGGGAUCUAACAGCUCGAACAGCACCUGGAACGGAAGCAAUAGCCGCCACUCAGAGGUUACUUCUUCCUUCUUCACCUUCUCUGGAUCACCUCCCUACCUCAUCCUCAAUCUAACGCUGGAAAUAUUGGAUAUGGGGUAGGUCACCAAAUGUUGCCAGAAGACUCAAAUUAUGCCACCCAUAUCUCAGCUGGGAAGGGCUUACCGUGGCCUGACUCUCCUCAGGGUCCAAGUCCCCAUUUAUGAUGUCCAGGCAGAAACACUUGUUUCUGACACAUAGUAGGCGCUGGAAAAUGUUAGUCAAAUGAACGAGGUCUGGUGUGGACAGAAGAGAAAUCUUGGGAGAGUCAUUUAAGGGGGUGCCCAGUUGUCCUCAUAAAAAACACUAUCAUCAUCAGGGUGACCAAAGCAGACAUCAUAGGCAGGAGGUGGAGUCAGAGGCUCUAAUCUGGGGACUGCCGCCAAGCUCUGCAGAUCAGGAGCAGUGGACACAGCCCGUGGUCCCCGAAGCCGAAGGUUGAUUGGAGCUCUUCCAGGGCUUCCUUCCUGGGCCAUGGACCCCUCUGAGGCCAUUCGCCUCUGUUCCAGUUCGGCUCUCCUGGACCCCUCUGGAUGGCUAGGUUGUUCCUCCUCAGGUGCUGGGGGUAUCACAACAGUGCUGUAGGGGGGUGGUUGGUCCAACUCUUGGGGGCGGCACUGGGAUUCUAGUCCCACCACGGCCUCUUCAUAGACUGGCACUUCAAAGGCUUCAUUGUCCCUGAGGGAAGAUAAAUAAGGCCAUUGGUGGCUUCCAUGAAAGAAGCCCUUUUUCCCUUUUUUUUGUCUGCUAUGGGCAAAAGAUCCUCUGUUGGCCUCUGACCCCUCCUCCCGCUGAUGCCAAUGACGGGAAACCAGAGACUCUAUGCCUCAGAGACUACAGGGAGAGAGGGAGGAUGGGCCCAAGGUGUAUUCCUCUUAUGAUGCCCACUGUUAACUCACCGUGCAUUGCCUGAGUGCCCUGGGCUCUCAGUCUGCAUUGAUUGGAGCUGGGACCGAAGCCCCCAUUCCAGAAACCGGACCAGGAGAUAGGCAAACAAGAAGAAGCCACCCAAUGUGAGAAAGAAAUAAGCAACGGGGGUGAUGUCCGUCUUUAUGCCCAGCAAAGCCAGCCCCAGUAGGAAGGAGGUGCAGCACAGGAGGAGAAGCGGCUUCUCCAGUCUCCCCGUUCUUCAAUCUCAAAUCAAAUAAAUCAUCUGUAGAGUCCCCUCCAGUUCCGAAAUUCUCUCUAUGUCUUGGAGUGUGUGGAAUAGCCAGGAAACCAGCCCAGGAGCUUUGACUCCCAGCCAUUCUGUCAGCCCAUGCUCCAGGUGGAGGGAGAAAGUGCACACAGGCGCACCAAAGCCACAGGGACACAACUGCUUGAGAAACAAUUGUACAGGCAAAGGCCCAGCACAAUGGCCGGAGGCCCUGAUAACUCCUGUCCUCUUCUAGACCCCACAUCUGCCAGGGCUCUCCUCUACCCUCUGCUGAUCCUAACUUGUUAAACUCAGUUUGCAAAUUUCCUGCCAGGAGGUAGCCCAGUGGCUGGGAGGCGGUGGGCAGGGGAACCCUUUUCUUUCCUUGUAACAGCAACAACCCGAGGCAGCCCAUACCCCAAAAACAGCCUGUCAGAAGUUGCCAGCGCUCUGUGUAGCAAGGAACUGCAGAUUCCCUCCUCACACCUCGGUCCCAAUCCCAUGACCCUCCCGACCCUCGCACCCACACCUGUCUCAGAAGUUCGUCGCUCACCUGUCUCCACAGACUGUAGAAAGUAGAUGGGGUGGGGGGUGGUGGGAAGGGCCGGAGCAGGUAGGUGGAGCCCACUGGCCCCACCCUCUUUUUCUGUCCCAAUCCCUCUGUUCUGGCCCAGUCAGUCUCCGCCCCUUUUCUCCCUAAGGCUGACUUCCAACUGCUGAACCUUGAUUUGUUCUGGUUUUUACUCUCUCCACCCACCCAUACUGUACCCUAAUGAGAGUGCACCCCUGACUCCCAAUGAUCUUUGUACUUAGGACCGGAGUUAGCAUUAACCUUUCCCUCUCUGCGCAUAUUGUAUGUUAAUUACAGCCCUGGGCAGUUUGCCUUCUAUUUGGGUAAUUUACCUUGUGCGUCUCUCCCAAGUGACUGGAAGCAGAGGUCUCUGCUUAUUUAAUCUCUGUAGAUCAUCACACAGUGCACUGCACACAGAAAGUAAUGCUGUGGGCAUGGAAUGGUGUGUCCUGCUUCCAUUACCCAAGUGCUAUUUUUAUGGACUCCCUGUAUUCUGCAGACCUGUUAGAAGUGUUUGUGUGUAUAUUUCUUGACCCAGUUAACUCUUGAGUCUUCAAGAUCCUCCUCCGAGGUGAUGCUGCUUUGGAGCCUGCUCCAGUGUAUCCACAUUGUUCCUUCCUAAAUCUGUCCCAGCAUUUACCUGGUUAUGUAGCAUUUUUCUGCUUACUGAUUUUCCUUCCACUGUGAGUUUCUCAAGGUGCGUGAUUAGUUUUAAUCAUCUCUGAAUCCUGGAAACUAACAUGGUUCCUGACACGUGGUAGGUCACUAACUAGAAGGCUCCCCUCUCACCAGGCCUCACCACACCUGUGAAGAUCAAAGAGCUGUUCUUUUUAGUUGUGGGUCAGGCAGUUAAGUCGGAGUAGGGUAGGUGCUUGGAGGUAGAGAGUGAGUAGAAGCAUACUUCGUCCUUGAGCCAGAGGGUGAACAAAACUGGGCCCCGUUCCUUCAGAGGGUGACCAGCAGACAGACCGAGGGAAGCUGCAGACCAUGGGCACAAAUCCAAUCCAGGCUCCCCAGGGACAGCUGGGGUGGGGAAGCAUAGGAGAAGGUGUGUGUGUGUGUGUGUGUGUGAGAGAGAGAGAGAGAGAGUAUGAGAAUGAGAAUAACUGUGUCUGUAGUGGUAAUAAGUGUGGGCACUGGUGGGAUAUUGAAGAUUCUCUGUCCCAGAGCCCCAGAUCGAUAGCAGAGAGAGGAAGGAGACAUUAACAGGAAGGCUGUGGGAGUCUAAAUGAGGUGUGUCUCUAUGCAAAGUAGGCACAGGAGUGAGAGGGGGCUGAUUGUUGUUCUGUUUCAGCCAAUUUCCUCACUGUUCUGCUCAUAAGGGGAAAGUACAGCUGGAAUCAGGACUGCAGUCUACAGUUAACAUAUGAAUAGAAGGAAAUUGGCCAAGGGUCAUUGGUGUGUGUGAUAGGAAAGGGGGUUUGUUAAGGAGUGAGUUGUGGGAAUGGGAAGGUGUAGGCUAAGAGGCACGGGGCCAAAAGGUAUGGGCCUGAGGUGUAAGGGGAGAGUCUGGGAGAGGCGGACCUUUGUAGCUUAAGUCUCUUGGUUGCCUGAAGGAGAGUACAAUAGACAAGAACUGGAUCCCAACUGGAGAGGCUAGACUGGUGGCUGGCUGUGCCCGUUCAUACAUUCUCAAUUCCAGUAAUGUAAAAUCAAUUUUUUAAAAUUGCAUUUGUUAAAAGAAAAAACAUGACAAUAUUUAAAAACUAAAGAAAAAAAAAUUGUCUAUCCUCUCAUUAUCCUAACACGGCCAUUUAAAAUGUUUAUAUAUUUCUUCCAGACUGUCUACAUGCAAACCAGAAUAUACUAACCACUUUGUAUCUUUAAAAAGUUUUAUACUUUAUAUUGUAUAUAUUUCACCCUGAUAAAGACCUUAUUGUAAUUUCAAAUAGCCAUGUAAUAUUUUAUUGAAUCGAUAUGCCAUAAUUUGAUAAAUAUACCCUCCUGAUACGUUGCUCAAUAACACUGAGCCUAUUUCACUCAAUAUUUUUGGCCAUUAAAAAUAAUGCAGGUUGCCGGGCGCGGUGGCUCACGCCUGUAAUCCCAGUACUUUGGGAGGCCGAGGCGGACGAUCGUGAGGUCAGGAGUUUGAGACCAGCCUGGCCAACAUGGUGAAACCCCAUCUCUACUAAAAAUACAAAAAGGAGCUGGGCAUGGAGGUGUGUGCCUGUAAUCCCAGCUACUCGGGAGGCUGAGGCAGGAGAAUUGCUUGAACUGCACCUUAAGCAAAAAGGAAGUUAGCCACACAUGGUGGCUCAUGACUAUAGUCUCAGCUACAUGGGAGGCAAGGCGAGAGGAUCUCUUGAGCCCAGGAGUUCGAGGCCAGCCUAG
rnacentral:lncRNA from 1 species